rnacentral:rRNA from 1 species
CCUACGGGAGGCAGCAGUGGGGAAUUUUGGACAAUGGGCGCAAGCCUGAUCCAGCAAUGCCGCGUGAGUGAAGAAGGCCUUCGGGUUGUAAAGCUCUUUUGUCAGGGAAGAAACGGCUGAGGUUAAUACCUUCGGCUAAUGACGGUACCUGAAGAAUAAGCACCGGCUAACUACGUGCCAGCAGCCGCGGUAAUACGUAGGGUGCAAGCGUUAAUCGGAAUUACUGGGCGUAAAGCGUGCGCAGGCGGUUUUGUAAGUCUGACGUGAAAUCCCCGGGCUCAACCUGGGAAUUGCGUUGGAGACUGCAAGGCUGGAGUCUGGCAGAGGGGGGUAGAAUUCCACGUGUAGCAGUGAAAUGCGUAGAGAUGUGGAGGAACACCGAUGGCGAAGGCAGCCCCCUGGGUCAAGACUGACGCUCAUGCACGAAACGCGUGGGGAGCAAACAGGAUUAGAUACCCUGGUAGUCCACGCCCUAAACGAUGUCUACUAGUUGUCGGGUCUUAAUUGACUUGGUAACGCAGCUAACGCGUGAAGUAGACCGCCUGGGGAGUACGGUCGCAAGAUUAAAACUCAAAGGAAUUGACGGCUGAGACCGAGCGACGACGACGACGAGGGAGGAGG